UUAAUCUUAAAUGAUGGGUUUUCAAUUAAACCGGGAAAUCGGUCUUGUUACCUGUUCAAAAAAAAAAAACAAGACUGAUUUCCCGGUUUGACUGAAAACCCGUCAUUUAAGAUUAA
rnacentral:pre_miRNA from 1 species